rnacentral:rRNA from 1 species
GAUGAACGCUGGCGGCGUGCCUAAUACAUGCAAGUCGAGCGAACGGACGAGAAGCUUGCUUUUCUGAUGUUAGCGGCGGACGGGUGAGUAACACGUGGUUAACCUACCUAUAAGACUGGGAUAACUUCGGGAAACCGGAGCUAAUACCGGAUAAUAUUUUGAACCGCAUGGUUCAAAAGUGAAAGACGGUCUUGCUGUCACUUAUAGAUGGAUCCGCGCUGCAUUAGCUAGUUGGUAAGGUAACGGCUUACCAAGGCAACGAUGCAUAGCCGACCUGAGAGGGUGAUCGGCCACACUGGAACUGAGACACGGUCCAGACUCCUACGGGAGGCAGCAGUAGGGAAUCUUCCGCAAGGGGCGAAAGCCUGACGGAGCAACGCCGCGUGAGUGAUGAAGGUCUUCGGAUCGUAAAACUCUGUUAUUAGGGAAGAACAUAUGUGUAAGUAACUGUGCACAUCUUGACGGUACCUAAUCAGAAAGCCACGGCUAACUACGUG